rnacentral:lncRNA from 1 species
UUGAAAAUGUGGUGGGAAAAGUUGUUCCCUCACUCUCACUUGAUUUUACUUAUCCCAGACAUUCACAUGAUAGUCGGGAUAUGUAUUUGAGCCAUCAAAUGUUUUGAUUUGCAAAUAUUGCGUAAACUUGAAAAAUAAAAGAAUGGAUGAGUCAAUAUUGUUAUUACAACAACAUAGUUCCUGUGGUGAAUUAUUCAAGGGAGAGAUACAUAGAAAUCAUUAAGAAUACAAUACAGAUGAGAAAGACUAGGAAUCAACAGUGUCUCAUUGAUCCUUCCCCUUGCCUUUUCCAUCCGAGACUUUUACCCCAUAUGAUGAGAGAAAAAAAGUGCUUUGAUUUUUCUGCAAAAACCUGCAAUAGAUU